CACGCCGUAAACGAUGAGUGCUAGGUGUUAGGCCCUUUCCGGGGCUUAGUGCCGGAGCUAACGCAAUAAGCACUCCGCCUGGGGAGUACGACCGCAAGGUUGAAACUCAAAGGAAUUGACGGGGGCCCGCACAAGCGGUGGAGCAUGUGGUUUAAUUCGAAGCAACGCGAAGAACCUUACCAGGUCUUGACAUCCCGAUGCUAUUCUUAGAGAUAGGAAGUUACUUCGGUACAUCGGAGACAGGUGGUGCAUGGUUGUCGUCAGCUCGUGUCGUGAGAUGUUGGGUUAAGUCCCGCAACGAGCGCAACCCUUAUUGUUAGUUGCCAUCAUUAAGUUGGGCACUCUAGCGAGACUGCCGGUAAUAAACCGGAGGAAGGUGGGGAUGACGUCAAAUCAUCAUGCCCCUUAUGACCUGGGCUACACACGUGCUACAAUGGUCGGUACAACGAGUUGCGAGCCGGUGACGGCAAGCUAAUCUCUGAAAGCCGAUCUCAGUUCGGAUUGGAGGCUGCAACUCGCCUCCAUGAAGUCGGAAUCGCUAGUAAUCGCGGAUCAGCACGCCGCGGUGAAUACGUUCCCGGGCCUUGUACACACCGCCCGUCACACCACGAGAGUUUGUAACACC
rnacentral:rRNA from 1 species